GACAGAGGGUGCAAACGUUGUUCGGAAUUACUGGGCGUAAAGCGCGUGUAGGCGGCUGCGCAAGUCGGAUGUGAAAUCCCAUGGCUCAACCAUGGAAGUGCACCCGAAACUGCGUAGCUAGAGUCUCGGAGAGGAAGGCGGAAUGCUUGGUGUAGAGGUGAAAUUCGUAGAUAUCAAGCGGAACACCGGUGGCGAAGGCGGCCUUCUGGACAGCAACUGACGCUGAGACGCGAAAGCGUGGGGAGCAAACAGG
rnacentral:rRNA from 1 species